rnacentral:lncRNA from 1 species
CAAAAUGAGAAGUUUUGAAGACACUCACAAAACAAUCAAAAUUUUCUUUGCUGGUAAAAGAUUAAAAACUAAGAUAUUAUAAUUUAAUAAAAUUUAUCAAAAUAUAGAAUCCUUACAUGACAUCUAAAUAAUGUUGCAUCCUUAUCCUCUCUUGUGAGUUCCUUCCACUUGUUUGGAAGCGAAAGAAAGUUGCGAGUAAUAAUUCCUAACUCAUUUGAUAGCUUUGCUGAUGGAAUUGCCUUAACUGGCCUUCCUUUACCAACUGGGAUGUCUAUAACCAUCUUUCUCCCUAUAGACUUCUUCAUUUUCUCAAGACCUUUUCCCAUUGUUCUUCCACGACCUUUCCUGAUUCUAGUUGAAUCCUCUGAUUUUAAAAAGUAAAAAUCAGUUCAAAAUACUUGCUAAUGUAUGUUUGUAUGUGUGUGUGUAUGUGUGUGUGUGUGUCUAUAUAUAUAUAUAUAUAUAUAUAUUAGUAAUUAAUUGCUAUGCUAUAAAUGAAAACACUACUGUUUCAAGUUUAACAUUAAUGAAUGUUUCAAAUGUUAAUAUAUUUGGUUCCAACCUAAAUACAAAAUAAUCCUAGAAGCUGGAAUAUAAAGAUUGCUAUUUCUUUCCCGUUUAGGAAAGUAAUAAUUUGUUGAAACUUCUUAUUGGUCGACAAUCAGAAACUUUGUUUACAUCCCCUCUUCUAAACACAAUCCGUUUGUUUUGUAAAGUUCAACUCAAGAAAAGUAUUGCAAUAUGUGUGAAGUUCUUCGCUACCCUUAGUAUUUGCUAAAACCAAUAAGAAAGAAUGGGUGCAAUGUAAUUUAUCAGAUAAUGACUUUCACAUAAAUGAAAAUUCCCAAUAUACCUUCGGAUUGCAAUGGAGUUGACCUGACCAUAAGAAAUUACUUCAAUUUUACCGCAAAGGUUCCAAUAAAAAUAGUACUACCAAAAGUCUGAAUUAGAAGUGCAGGAUAUACUUGUUGCAUAUAGAAAACAAUAUGGAAUGCACCUAACAGGCCAAAAAAAAGGAUCCGUAAGAAUAAACAACAAAAAAAUAGUACACUGACAACAAUGAGCAAUAAGCAUCAGAAAAAAGGAGAACAAACAAUAAAAGCAAUGGAACUGACCUGACCAUACGAAGUUACUUCAAUUUUACCGCAAAGGCUCCAAUAAAAAUAGUACUACCAAAAGUCUGAAUUAGAAGUGCAGGAUAUACUUGCUGCAUAUAGAAAAGCAAUAUGGAAUGCAUAGAACAGGCCAAAAAAAGGAU